rnacentral:rRNA from 1 species
UACGUAGGUGACAAGCGUUGUCCGGAUUUACUGGGCGUAAAGAGCGCGCAGGCGGCCGGUCAAGUCGAGUGUGAAAGCCCCCGGCUCAACUGGGGAGGGUCAUUCGAUACUGAUAGACUCGAAGGCAGGAGAGGGUAGUGGAAUUCCCGGUGUAGUGGUGAAAUGCGUAGAUAUCGGGAGGAGCACCAGUGGCGAAGGCGACUACCUGGCCUGUUCUUGACGCUGAGGCGCGAAAGCUAGGGGAGCAAACGGG